rnacentral:rRNA from 1 species
AUUUUAUAAAGAGUUUGAUCCUGGCUCAGGACGAACGCUGGCGGCGCGCCUAACACAUGCAAGUCGAACGGAGCUUGAG